rnacentral:lncRNA from 1 species
UUGGAUUCGGGUCUAUAGUUUAUGAAUUUUAAUUUUAGCUUAAUUUUAAUCCAAUAAUACAUAGACUCAAUCCAAAACCCCAAAAGCCAUCUUAGCCCAUAAUCCCAAGCCCAAUACCCUUAGACCCAUCAGAUUUUAUGACCUUUAUACCCUAACCCUACCUUCUUCUUCAUGUACACAUUUUAGACACAACCUAGACCUAGAACAUAAGCCAUCAGCACACAAAAAAACAAAAAAAGUACCUAGAAAUUCCUACUUGGACAAACCAGUCGCAGAGACCUAAUAACAAGAACCCCACCCCCUAUCGACUCAUCUUCUUCUUCAGAGAAGAAGCAGCCUUUUUCCAUGGCUUUUUCUUAACCAGAAAACAACACCCCACAGCCGUUUCUCCUGUUUUUGUUGACAACCAAAAGACCUAAAAACACAAAAAAUGGUGGAACCCUAGAUUUAGGAUAACAAUCGUUUCUGAUUUUGGAAAAUAGACACAUGUGUUGCAUCAUCAACUCCACCACACCCCUGACGAGCCCCCGUCGCCUCUUCUUCUUCUCCCCAUUCUCACCAGAGUUCGCCAGAAGCCAGAACUCACAGCCAUCGAUCCUCUCAACCAAGAACCAUUGCUCAUACCCUCCUCCAUCUUUAGCCAUUUUUGAUCAUUUUCAACACCCAAAAUAUACCGGCUGUUCCUAUCUUCUACACACCCAUAACCAAAAAGCUGCAGCACACACACAAGGGAGCAGAACCCGGUGACCACUCUCAAAUCCGCCGAACACACCAACCAGCGAACCCUGCUUCUGAACAACCAAAAACGAGCUAAAAUUCCAGUUUAUUCUCUUGAUUUUGGUCUCAAAGAUAGAGUUUGUCCGAAGUUGAUUUAAUUCACCGUCUGAGGUCCAAGUUCGUCGUUCCGGUUGGAGUACAUCUCGUCUUGAUGUUUUGGGAUUGGAUCGCUGCUAGAAUUUGCAUAUCCAGAUUCAUUUGUACCUUUUCUAAUCAUUUUAAAUAUCAAUUGAAAGCUCAUUUUCAGAUUCAAAUAGCUGAGGUUCUCUCUUAUCCCUCUGACUUAUGAACCCAUUAUUUUCUUUUCUUGGUGUUGCUUUGAGGUUUUGCUAUUUAGUUAAUGGCUUUAUUCCCAUUAUGAGGUUUUGUUAAUGAUGACCUAUUUUCCUAUGACAUUAAUCUCGACUAGCAUAAAGGCUUUGGGAUAAUCUCUGUUAAUUGUUAACUUGGGGUUAAUCAAUUGGAUGCAUGAAUUGAGCUUCACCACAAUAUUAAAAUUUAGCGUCUCUCAGCCUAAGUGGAUAAUGGCUUUUUGAUUUCUUAGAUUUGAAUCUAUUCACAUAACGAUCUUUAAAUUUUGACAAAUAUGCGGGACUUCCGUGAUGUUAAGCUUAAGAUUUUGCUUUUCUUAGUUAGUAAUUUAAUAUCAGUUUUUGACCGCAUCUUCUUUGGUUCUUUUUGCCAUGUUCAUGAGGUACGUCUAAUUCUUGUUAUGUACUAAGUACUAUUUUGGAUAUGGUCAUUUCCUAUGGAACUUCAUUUUUAAGUUUGAACGGUUUAUCUCGAUUAUGCUACAUAUAAAUGAUGUGUGAUUACGGGCGUACUCUGUUUGUUUUGUAAUUGUUUGUUUCAGUUCUUAUGCUCGUCUAAAGCCAAAAUGUAUUUCUCAUGAAUUAUGUCCUGAAGGACCAAAAUGGAUGCAUCAUGGAACUGUAUUCUCAGCCUCACAUGAAAUUUCGUACUACAUGUACCAUAAAUUAAUUCCAAAGUCAAAAAAUGAACUAAAAUGAGGAGCAAUUUAAUAUAUCAUCGUGAUUGUGUACACGUUCACGUCACAUAAUCGCGAUUUUAAAAACAAAAUCGGAGUAUACGUUCGCGCAACUUCAACUAAACUUUCUUAAUAAUAACAAUAAUAAAGCGUUAUUAAUUGUGGACACGUACGCGUGACAUGAUUUUUGACGCGUGACCUAUUUUAAGAUAAUAUCCUAAUUAAAAUAGGUGGACGCACAUAGGUUCUAAAAUAAGUAAUUAGACAAUUUAAUCAAGCCAGGUAUGAUUACAACGACCGUGCUAAAACCACGGAACUUGGGAAUGCCUAACACCUACUCCCGGGUUAACAGAAUUCCUUACCCAGAUUUCUGUGUUCGCAGACCAUAAAUAAGAGCCAACUUCCUCAAUUCGGGAUUUUAAACCCGUGACUUGGGACACCAUAAAUUAUCCCAAGUGGCGAUUUUGAAUUUGAAUAAAUAAUCCCGUUUCGAUUGCCACUUAAAUUGGAAAAAAACUCUCUUAUACUCUUAUUCGGGGUAGAAGAAGGAGGUGUGAUAGCUCUGGCGACUCUGCGGGGGACAAGAACCCAGAUCUUCUGGUUCAGGGUUCAAGAAUUCGAGCUUAUUUUGUGAUCUUUAUUUGGCUUUAUUUAUUGUUCAUAUUACUGUAUUUGUUUUCCUAAUGUACUAAUUGCCGCUUAUUUUACUGCUCUGAUAUUAUUUGAAUUGUAUUAAACUAUCUUUUUACACUUCCCAUCUGAGUCUUCUAAAAAAUGGUGCACACGUUCGCGUGACCCACUUUUCUGUUAGAAGUUACACCAAUUGAGCGAGUUUAGGCCAGCAACAAGGCCCGGUAGACUUUUGUUCUCCCGGUACGUUGCCCCCAUCUUGGCUCGAGCUGUCCGCUCGGGUAAGCCAGGUCUAGAACACAACCCCAGGUUUAAACCUAGAAUAACAUAACCUCAUGUCGAAUCCCUAGUAGGAACAUUUGUUUGCAUCACGUGCAUUCGACUUAGGGAACUCAACACAGGGGUUGGGUCCGUAUAGGACAAGUGUACCCAAAAAUAAAAGAUUAUCCUGAUGCAUCUUAUAUGCUACAUAUUCCAUUCUUCAAGGGUAAAAAGGGUCAUUUGACGGACCAAUGAUGGUUUAGGGUAAAUGAGUGAGAAAAGAGGGUGAAGUGUGAAAAUAAAGCAAGUAGGGCGCAAUUAUAUUUUCUUUCACAUUUUGUUAAGAAAAAGACAAAAAAACAUGAAAAAUUCAUCUUUCGGAGCGUGAUAUGUAGGCAGACCACAUAGGGUACGUUCUUCCUAGUAAGUCUUAGGUUCUUGGCUUCGCGGGGUCUUAGCCAAAUCUUGCAUGUCUAGCCACUUUUGGCCACAUCGGUUAUUUUGCAAAAUAUGGCUAUUUUCUCAAAAGUGUUUUGUUUAGUUGUUUGGAGAGUCUUGAAUCCACAAUUAGGCAUCUCUUUACUUUAAGGCUCAUCCUUGUCGAAUUUUCAUUCUAGCCGUUUUUGGCCACAUCGGUUGUUUUGCAAAAUAGGGCUAUUUUCACAAAAGUGGUUCAAUUAACACGUCUUAGAGUCCUAGGUCCACAACAAGAUGUUCUCUUUAGUUUAAGAUCCAUUACCUUGAACUUGCAUGCUUAUCCAUUUUUGGCAACAUAGGCCAUUUCUACAAGUAAUAUUUCCAUGUCUUAAAGGUCUUUUGUUGAGAUUGCACUUCUAGCCACACUUUGGCCACAUAAGCCAUUUUACAAAAAUAGCCUCAAUCAUAUCUUGCAUGUGUCCAAUAGGGAGUGUUAUUGUCUAACAUAGUGUUCUAAGUUUUUAACUCUAUUUGGUUUUAGUUUUUCAUACAGGUGUGGAUCUACUUACCGGAGAUUGAGCAUGACAGACACCCGGGGACCAUCCAAUCAGGACCUCUGCAUCCAGGAGUUGCUUAAGGAGAUCUUUUUUAUGUUUUGAGUCUAUUUCUUUUUAUGUUGUCUUGUACUUUAUAGUCCUGUCCAGUAGUAAGGAUUCUUUUAGUUGGUGUCGGAGUUUGUCGUAGUAUAGAUGAGUUGAGUCUCUCAUUAUCAUAUUUCCUGUUUUGUAUUUGAAAAUAAAAAAAUGUUGUAAUGAAUAAUCCAAAAAAAAAUAUUUUUUUAGUUUAAUUUA